rnacentral:rRNA from 1 species
AGCCUGCCCAGUGACUAAGUUAAACGGCCGCGGUACCCUAACCGUGCAAAGGUAGCGCAAUCACUUGUUCUUUAAAUGAGGACUAGUAUGAACGGCAUCACGAGGGUUAUACUGUCUCCCUAUUCCAUUCAGUGAAACUGAUCUUCCCGUGAAGAAGCGGGAAUAUAAAUAUAAGACGAGAAGACCCCAUGGAGCUUUAAACUCAGUGUCAUCUGCCACUUCAAUACCCUCUUAACCACGCAGACAUGGUAACUAGUUUUCGGUUGGGGUGACCGCGGAGUAAAACAAAACCUCCACAACGAAAGGAACUAACAACCUAAUCCAAGAGCAACAUCUCUAAGAAUCAACAAAUUGACUUAAUUGAUCCAAUUACUUGAUCAACGAACCAAGUUACCCUGGGGAUAACAGCGCAAUCCAUUUCAAGAGCUCAUAUCGACAAAUGGGUUUACGACCUCGAUGUUGGAUCAGGGUAUCCCAGUGGCGCAGCAGCUACUAACGGUUCGUUUGUUCAACGAUUAAA